UCUCAAUUGCGAUUUGCAAAAUUGCGAUUGCGACAAUAUUAAGUAAAUUUGUCUGGCAACCUAUCCCCAUUCCUCUUAUAAUAAAGCAUCUUCGUCAUUACCAGUUUCGGAAACGUAAUAGUGUGUUUUCAACUUUUCGAUCAUCUCUUCUUUUAUUGUUUGCCGUUUCUAUUUAAAGAUAAUAUAUUUAAAUCUGUUGUUAGGCAAUUUAAUAGAAUUGUCGCAUAUUGUAUUUCACCACUACGAAUUUAGAAGUAUCAAGGUCCCAAUUACCUAAUAAGCUAUUUCAAUGGUCUCAAUUGUUUGAAACAGCAGCGACCCUUUGAUGGAAGCAAUUGGAAAAAAUGUCAAUGAUGAAGCUCGCUUGUUUGUUAAUACGGAUGUUGCUUCUAGUGUUAUCAACCCUAAAAUAGCAUCAACAGCAUCAUCUGAGUAUUGGAACAGAGGUGGUGACCUAAACCAUGCUGCGAGCAAGGACAUUUCAGGCAGAGCUAGACCACAAUGGCUUGGCUUUUGUUUGAACUUUUACCUGAAGAUGAGAAGUUAAAAUUCUUCAUAGUAGAGACCCAAGAGUUGGAUAUUGCUGUCGGAAGCAGUUCCUUCGAAGAAAAUAGAGAAGUUCGCAGCACAGUCUCUCACACUUGGUUAGCAUUGGACAAAAAGACUUUACUGUAUCCUCCUGCAACGUGUAAGGUUGCCAAUAAAUCUCCUGUCGACUGGGGAGAAAGUCCUUACAGAAGGUUUACAUAUCCCGAGGAAGGAUGGCUAGAGUACAACGUUACCUUUAUCUACAACGAGCAGAAACCAAGAAACAUCCAAACUUAACAAGGAAUUGCAAGCCCUCAAAGCCCUUCUCAAAAAUAGGCCAUUUCUAAAUUAUUUGGAUUCUGACGCCAACGCAUCUUUGGGUAGAGGCCAGCGGGACAAGGUCCCUUCAAAACGAAAGGAGGACCAAAUCGAGGAUUUUGAUGACAGCAGCCUUUUGAAAAAAAAAAAAAAAAGUUCAUAACAAGGAAAACCAGCCAACAAAGAAAGGGUUGAAGGGAAAGUCUAUGAAGACGAAGAAAAAUGUCCCCACAUCAGUAGCUGCUGACGACACAUCCUCGUUUGCAUCGGUGUCGUCGAAUCUUGGAGUGGCUGCAAACAACAUUUCUGCUGAAGCCGGUGAUUUGUUUAGUGGUGCUCCAACGAACUAUAGAGCACCCAUCGAAGCAGUAAACCAAUUGACGUCAACUUCCACUGCGCGAAUUCAUUCCACCGUCAUACUCCACAACUGGGGAAGACGAUAAAUCUGUUUAAAAUACUAUAUUCUUCUUUAAGAUCACUUUAAAUAAUGCUUUGUUUGUUUUUCCUUUAGGUCCGUCGUCGCUCCAAGCCCUAGGAGAUAGCCAAAUAGCUAUCAAUAUUACCGACUCCUAUCAGAACCAACACAGCUACGACAGCAGCUUUUAUGAACAACAGCAGUACGAUUACCAGGGACUUUCGCAUUCUUCUUUCGAAGAGAAGAUCGGCCGUCCUCUAAUCCAAGCUUUCCAUUCGAUUCUGGAAGAGAUACUACAGUCGGCUAUUAGCAGUUUAACUGGACCGUGAUGUUACAAACAAGAUAACUGAUUUCCAGCUCAAGGAUCUUUCAGUUAAGAGCCUUGAGAACUGUGACUACCAUGACCGAGCCGUUGGGCACACCUUCCGUUUGCCUUUCGACUCCGUUGUAAAGUUGAUAGCGGCUGACACUGCCUUGAAGGAGCAGCAGACUGCUGUUAAAUUUGGUAAGAAGAAACUAUUUACAAUAAGAAACUUUUACUAUUUUUUUUUCAGAUUUGCUACCUGGCAAAUGCCUACAAGUCUGCUUCCGGUGUGUCGAAGUUUUUAAAUUCUAUUUACAAACAUUUGAUUACAAACGAAACAAGCCAGGGGCUCAAAUGGAGCCCUAAAGCUUGCAAAGAUGAUGACAGACCGGUGCUUGGAGGAAUGAUAAAUAUUAUGGCAGUUUUCGGAGUAUAAUUGAAUGCAUUCUGCCGAAGCCGGAAUGUUACCCAGCCUUAAAUCCAACAACUCAUUGGAUUAAUCCAAGUGAGUCGGAAAGCAAGGGCAGCUGACUUCAGGAAGGAACGUAAUAUAUCAGCGACGCACCGGAAAACGUCAGAAUCGUCUUCCGGUUUUAGCAUUGAUGGAGUGGAACUCGAAAUGGGGAUUUCUGCCGCCAUAGACCACCAGAUAUCUGUUUUCGAGAGGGCGGUCGUUGCCUUUAAAAUUCCUGUGCGCCUAGGGCCGGGUGUGAUGCCGAACAUAACAAACCAAGGCGCCUUUUAAAUUGCUUCUGUGGUUAUUUCUGCCUUGCUUGUUGUUUCUGCCUUUUUGCUGUUUCAGCCUUUUUUGUGUUUUGUCGUUAAUUUGUUCCUAUACUGUUAAUACUGAUAAAAACAAAGACAUCUCUACACAUUUAUGUGAACUAGUCCUUAUCUUGUGAUUUGCAUAAUAAAAUUUUGACAAAUGCAAGAAA
rnacentral:lncRNA from 1 species